rnacentral:lncRNA from 1 species
GAACCAACCCUGCACAAACACUAAUAACUCAGCUCCAGUCCCUGGAAAUAACCUCCUCGCUAAAUGCAGUCUCAACACAACCGUAGUCAGAGACGGUGUGAUCAUGCAAGUCUGUUUUCCUAAGCAUGAUAAGAACCCUGACUUGAGCAAUUUCAACAGUGUCGUACUCAAGAACUUGAAUGAUUCUAAGAUCACUGGAAUUGGUAUUGGUUCUGGUGAUAUUUGGGUUGUUGUCAUCCUCACUACAAACACACCGGAAGGCGGCUAUUCUCUUUUAACAACUACUAACUCAGGAGCUUAUGCAUUCGGAGUUAAUGGCCUUGUUUCUUCAAGUUUCUUGUUUCUUCUCUUUUGUUUCUUCAUGUUUUGAGUCCCUUUUUUGGUGUUUUUUAUGUCACCUCGUUGUCUUUGGUUCUUGAAUAUGUUGUGAUUAUGGUGAGCAAAUCGCCUUUCUUAAAGUUUCCUCUUACUAAUUGUGAUUGAGUAAAUACGAAAAAUCCUUUUAUAAGCCCCAAAAUCAAAUCCCAUACAAACAGGAAUGAACGUAACUAAGAAUAUGGAGCCUAGCUAGCAGCUAUAUAUGCCUAAUCAAGUCCCGUGGAGCCACGCAGCACGGGGCAGAGAGGGAGAUUCUGCAGUCAGCAGAAGCCACCAUUUUCGCAAGAUAAGAUAAGAGAGUUUCCAUGGAGUUGCAUUUUAGUUGAUUCUUGGAAGGAUCAUUUGUUCUACCCUAUCUUCAUCAAGUCAUACAACAUCAGUUUUUGUUUUGUAUUCAGAUUUUAAGACGUUCCUCUAUUGUCUAUUUGUCUUGAUCUGUCUUGCAAUGGCAUAUUCUGCUGGAGGAAACCUAUGUCAAGGAAAGAUACACAAAAUUUGCCGGAUGAAAUAGUGUUAACAAUAUUUUUCUUAGAGCAUACUCAUUGCUGAACUAUUUUUUUGAAUGUUUCAAAACCAAAAUAUUAAAUAUUUUAAUAUCAAAAACAAACUAACUAUUAAAAAGAAGACAUACGGAGAAAAGAGUCUUUAAACAAACGUUACAAGGUCUUAAAUGUCUCUAGGAAGACACAUAUCUCAUAUCGAUUCUUUAAAUUCUUUUAUUUUUAUGACCAAUGGGGAUGGUCUUAGGAAUAUAAUAUCGCAAUGUUGACCAAUAACCAAUAAUAUUAAUGUAAUUUCGCAAUAUAGUCUAUUAUUUUUAUUUUUAUCUUAUAUUUUAUUUUAUUUUUUUGGUCAAAUUUAGUCUCCUAUCUUAUGUCAUGCAAAUAAUGGAGAUGAUGAUGUAAGAUAAGAAAGAAAAUUCAAGUUUUUGCUGAAUUUAUUAGUAUUUUUGAAAAAAUAAAUAAACUAAGAAUAAAUGUUUGGUGGAUUCAACUAAUUGUAUAUUUAUUCCAAUGUUCAAAAAAUCGUUAGGCGGUAACUAGGUGUUCGAUAGAGACUUAGCACCCAGAGCGAGUAAUCGGAGUCUAGGCGAUAGCACAUUAUUUCUUACUUUUAAAUAUUUUUUUACAAUUUUCUAUCAAAACAUUGGUUAUAAAAUAUGAAAUUUUAAAAAUGUUAUCUAUUUAAAACUUAUUAUAUUUUCACACUUUUAUAUAUAAAAAUAAAAUAAUUUAGUCUUAAAACUAAAAAAGUUGAGAAUAAUUAAUUCAUAAUUUAGAAUUUUAGUACUUAAAUAUUUUGUUUAUCUUACUUUGAUUUAAGUAUUUCACUUAUUCAAGAUGAUGUUAUAUCGAAAAGAAAAAAAAAAACAAAUCAGGCACUAAAUCGGUCAAUUUGACUGAUUUAACCGAUUAAUACUAAUUUUGAACGCCUAAACCAGUAAACCAAUGUUUAUUUACCAUCUAAAUAAAUUUUUUAAACAUUGAUUUAUUAUGUGAGAGAGAAAAAAAACAAACUGAUAGAACCUUUUUUUUUUUUGAACAAACUUGUAGUCUUGUAGAACUCAAUAUCAAGUAUUAAAUGGCCAUAAUUUCGCUCUUAAAUUUGAAUGAAGGAAAGAAACUUCCUACUUGGUGAAAAAAAAACAAAAGGAAAGAAAUACCCCACUAAAACGAGUAACGACAUCUUAAUGGGGUCGUUAUUUUUGUCUACGCGGCAUCAAAUCGAGUGGACAAUAAGAACUAAACCGAAGCAACGACUUUGAAUAGUCAAGCGAAAAGGAGCCAAAUUCUCUAAUAAAUAAGUGAAGAUUCAUCGCCAAGUAUCAUCAGCAAACCUAAAGCUAAAAGUGCCUCUGCAUCAAUGGCGAUUUCCAAGCUCCAUCUAGUACUCUUUCUUCUCUCAGUCUUUCUCUCUCUUCAUCGUCCUGUUCUUUCCAACACCGGUAAACUCUCUCAUUCCGACCAAGAUCUUCUAGAUUUUUCAAUUUAGGUUUCUUGAUCUAGUUCUAGUCUGAAAAUCGUCAAAUCUUGUUUCAUUCAAGCCUAGAUCUUGAUCAAUGGCGAUUACGUUGUUAACUAAACUAUACUUUCGGUGUUCUGUUUUUGAUAUCCACAGAUGGAGAAAACCUUCUAUUUACAGUAUUCAACCAAUACAGAGAAUCAGUAAACCUCACAAACCUAAAAAAGAACAAAAACGCAGAAUGUCUAGCAGACGAAGUCGUAGACCAAUUACAGAACCAACCCUGCACAAACACCACUGGCUCAGCUUCAGUCCCUGGAACAGAUCCUGGAAUCCCAAAUUUCCCUAACCUCCUCGCUAAAUGCCGCCUCAACACAAACGUAACCAGAGACGGUUUGAUAUUGCAAGUUUGUGCUCCUAAGCAUCAUUCGACCCCUGACUUGAGCAGUUUCGCCAAUGUCUUAACAAAGAACCUGAAUGAUUCUAAGUUCACUGGAGCUGGAGUUGGUAUUGAUUCUGAUGGUAUUUGGCUUGUUACCGUCCUCACUACAAACACACCAGGGGGUAGCUAUUCUAACUCAGGAGCUUUUGCAUUCGGAGUUAAUGGCCUUGUUUCUUCAAGUUUGAUGUUUCUUCAUGUUUUGAGUCACAACUCGUUGUCUUUGUUUUCUUAAUAUGACGUGAUUAUGGUGAAAUUUUUAAUAAAUUCGUGUGGCAAUCAAUUAAAGAGAGAAUAACAAUAUAUUAAUUGGAGCAAAUCGCCUUUCUUAUAAAGUUUCCUCUUACCAAGUGUGUGUGAGUUGAGUAAAUAAGAAAACCCUUUUAUAAGCCCGCAAAACCCAUACAAACAGGAAUGAACCGCCAAUGUCCCUAAGAAUAUGGACUCCUAGCAGCUAAACGUGCCUAGUCAAGCCCCGUGGAGCCGCGUAGGCAGAGAGGGGGAGAUAAAAGAGAAGAGGAGAGUGUUGCAUGGAAUUACAUUUUAGUUGAUUUUUGGAAGGAUUUGGUCCACCCUGUCUUCAUCAAGUCACAUACACCACCAGUUAUCAUUUUGUAUUCAUAAUUUUAAGAAAUUGAUCUUUUGUCUUGAUCUGUCUUGCAAUGACAUAUCCUACUGGAGACUUGUAUCAGGAAAAUUCAAAAUUGCCGGAGAAAAUAGUGUUAAGCUUUUUUUAUUUAUGAUAUAUAGAUAUACUUUCCCAAUUUAGAAUCUUCUUGUCGUCUCAUGCCAUGCAAGUAUAAUUGAUGAAUAUGGUGUAAGAAAAAAAAGAGUUAAAACUUAAAAGUCUUUGCUGAAUUUAUUUGUAUUUCUGAAAAAAUAAAUAAACGAGGAAUAAAUGUUUUGUAUAUGGUUGUGAAAAAAAAAUGUGGUAAAACUUCUAUCCAUAUAUUCAUAUCAAUAUCAAGUAUAAAUGGUCAUAAUUACACACUUAAAUUUAAAUGAAGAAAAAUAUAUCCAAUUAAAACGACCGCGUUUGGUAAGUUAGUUAAUUGUCUACGUGUAUCAAAACGAGUGGACAAGAACUAACUAAAGAAGAAAAAGAAAAAAACAAAGCAAACGACUUUGAAGAGUCAAGGCGAAACAACUAAAAAAUCUCAUAAAUAAUAGAGAGAAAAGAUUCAUCAUCACCAAAAGAUCAUAAAAGAAGUAAAGAAGAAGAACUUCUCUGCAUCAAUGGCGAUCUCCAAGCUCCAUCUACUCUUCCUUCUCUCAGUCUUUCUCUCCCUUCAUCCUCUUGUUCUUUCCGACACCGCCGGUAAUUAACUCUCUCAUUUCCCGUCAAUGUCUUCUUGGUUAUUCAAUUUAGGUUCUUGAACUCUAUCGAUCGUAAUUUGUUUACCUAGAUCUGGUCUGAAAUCGUUGAAUCUUCUUAAUUCAAGCUUAGUUCGGUUCUUGAUUUGUGUGUCAUUGUGUGUUCUGUUCUGUUUCGAAUCUUUUUGAAUCGGAUCUUGAUUUUUGUGUGUGUUCUGUUUUCUUUUUGAUAUACACAGAUGAAGAAGAUGUUCUUCUUACAGGCAUCAACAGUUACAGAGCAUCACUAAACCUAACAACCUUAAUACACAACCACAACGCAGAAUGUCUAGCAGACGAAAUCGCAGACCAAUUCAAGAACCAACCUUGCACAAACACCACUGGCUCAGCCUCUGUCCCUGGAACCACACCUGGAUUCCCAAACUUGCCUAACCUCCUCUCAAAAUGCCGCCUCAACCCUACCGUAACUAGAGACGGUGCGAUUUUGCCAGCUUGUGUUCCCAACCUUGAUCCUAGCCUUGUCUUGACCAAUUUCACAAUGUCACAGUACUCCAAGGACCUGAAUGAUUCUAAGUUCACUGGUAUUGGUAUUGGUUCUGAUGAUAAUUGGAUUGUUGUUGUCCUCACUACUAGCACACCGGAGGGUAGCUAUUCUCCGG